rnacentral:lncRNA from 1 species
GUACAUGACAUUUAGGAGUGUCCAUGAAUUAAAAGAUACAAUAACCAAAUAUCCAGUGAAUAAUGGGCAUGGAAUUAGGUUCAAAAAGAGUGAGAGAGACAGAUUAAGAGUUGUUUGUAAGCUUGGGUGUAAAUGGGUAUUGCAUGCUAGUUUGAAGUCUCAUAGUAAUACUUUGACUAUCAAGACAUACUAUCCCAAGCACACAUGUAGUAGAGAAU